CUUCCACUGACCUCCAGAAGUUGGCAAGUUUUGAACAAUUCCACCACAUAUGGAUAUAUGUGCCCCUAAAACCACAGCCCCGCCAGCAAUCGUCAUUAUCCAAUUUAUGCAUGCGAUAAAGUUUCACGGGCGUGGUAUACCACCUGAGCAUGGUUUUCCAUGCUUGUUCUUGUAGAGUGACACAAAUCGAGACAGUGGAAUUCGCCUCCCAUAUCUCCAUCCAUUCUAGUCCCUCCAGGACUUCACCGAGGUCCGCUUCCCAUUGAUCCGUGUACUUCAGAUUUCCCCAUUCGCCCGUUUCCGCACUCAGGUGAGCGUAUAGAAGUGUAAUCAUACCCUUGGGGGCGGUCCCUUUGGAGCAAAGUCGUUCAAAAAAGGUCAUCUGACCCAGAGCUGCCGCCUUAAUGCGAGGUUUGCCAGCGAAGUCGCGAAUCUGGACAAAGCGGAAAAAAUCUGCGG